UGGGCCAUUAUGUUUUUAUUCCUGAGUGAAGAUGUAAGGAGACAAUACAAGGAGGAAGUGAUGGUGGUGAUGGUGGUGGUGGACAGACUGCAAGAGAUGGGGGCUUGAAAGGCAGGGAAAGUUAGGAGGAAGGAGACAAGGCAAGGAAGAAGAGGUGGUGGUGGAGAGACUACAUAAGAGAUAGAGGGUUGAAAGGCAGGGAAAGAUGGGAGGAAGGAGACAAGGCAAGGAAGAAGAGGUGGUGGUGGAGAGACUACAU